GUAAGUGAUGACCUUAUGCUUGGAUAUAUCAGCUUCAGAAGGAAUGGGUGUUUUAGGCUUUAUCCUCACCUCUGCUCCUGCAUAAUUCAUCUUCUGUCUUCCAAAUUAUGGAAAAUGAGGAAAUAGAGGAACUGAAUGUCUUCCUUUCUGCUUGCAGACCUGGGUUGCUACUGAGCCCUGGGAAUCAAUACACGAACCAGUGCAUCGUCAUAGCUCACUCCAAAUAAGGUGUUUUCACCCCAUUGAUCUGGCCUAUAUCUGUUGAUUUUGUUAAACAGUCUGUACUGCAAGGGGAGGAAGAAGUUGUUAUUUUAUUAUUCCCUCAUAAAAUUAAUUGGUGCCUCAAAUAAAUAUUAUUAAAAAUACUGUAUUUUAUAACAUACGAAGAUGAUUAAUAUAGUUUCAGUAUGGAGCUCUUAUACUUUGUAUGUUUAUGUCAAUAAACUCAUAAAAUUUCGAAAAUGAAA